rnacentral:rRNA from 1 species
UACGAAGGGGGCUAGCGUUGCUCGGAAUGACUGGGCGUAAAGGGCGCGUAGGCGGUUUGUACAGUCAGGGGUGAAAGCCCCCAGCUCAACUGGGGAAGUGCCUCUGAUACUGGCGGCCUCGAGGGAGGUAGGGGCGUGCGGAACUUCCGGUGGAGCGGUGAAAUGCGUAGAUAUCGGAAGGAACACCGGUGGCGAAAGCGGCGCGCUGGACCUCUUCUGACGCUGAGGCGCGAAAGCCAGGGGAGCGAACGGG